UGGGGAAUAUUGGACAAUGGGGGGAACCCUGAUCCAGCCAUGCCGCGUGUGUGAAGAUGGCCUUCUGGUUGUAAAGCACUUUAAGCGAGGAGGAGGGUACUGGUAUUAAUACUACCAGGUACUGGACGUUACUCGCAGAAUAAGCACCGGCUAACUCUGUGCCAGCAGCCGCGGUAAUACAGAGGGUGCGAGCGUUAAUCGGAUUUACUGGGCGUAAAGCGUGCGUAGGCGGCUAAUUGAGUCGGAUGUGAAAUCCCCGAGCUUAACUUGGGAAUUGCAUUCGAUACUGGUUAGCUAGAGUGUGGGAGAGGAUAGUAGAAUUCCAGGUGUAGCGGUAAAAUGCGUAGAGAUCUGGAGGAAUACCGAUGGCGAAGGCAGCCAUCUGGCCUAACACUGACGCUAAGGUACGAAAGCAUAGGGGGCAAACAGG
rnacentral:rRNA from 1 species